rnacentral:tRNA from 1 species
AUCUAGCUCAGUGGUAGAGUGCUUGCCCAGCAUGUACACAAGGGCCUGGGUUUGAUCCCCAGCUCAGAGA